rnacentral:tRNA from 1 species
UGUGUAAAAGUCAAAAAGAGACAAAUUAUUGUUAAUAAUUCUAAUGGGAAAUUCCCCCCCCUUACACAA